UGGGUCGGUGAGACGAUCGCGUCGCGCGUCGCUUCGGCGGCUGCGCGCCGAGGAACGUCCGGGCUGCGCAGAGGAGAACGGUGGGUAACACCCACCCGGGGCAACCCGCGAGAAAGUGCAACAGAGAGCAGACCAGCCAUCCCGGCUCCGUCGGGAUGGUCCGGGUGAAAGGGUGGUGUAAGAGACCACCGGCGUCCGUGGUGACACGGGCGGCCAGGCAAACCUCGUUCGCAGCAAGGCCAGACAGAAGACGAUGACGCUCCUCGCCGAGUCUUCGGGUGGGCUGCUAGAGGGCGUCGGCAACGGCGUCCCGAGAGAGAUGAUCGUCGCCCCGCCCCCGGGCGGGGAACAGAACCCGGCGUAUGAUCCGGCCCAUUCC
rnacentral:RNase_P_RNA from 1 species